AUUCUGUGUUGUCAAUGGAGUAUUCAAGAUUAUAAACUAAAAUUGAGACAGGGCAAUGAGGUAGGAAGUUUGAGGAGAAAAGAGAAAGUAUCGUCACUUUCGAGAGUAGGAAACUAGAGAAACAAAAUUGGUUUGAUGGGCGUUAGAUGGAAUCAUGAACUAAACGCGAAUUUACUCUGCCUUGUCGGGAUUUUCUCCACCUGUGUGCAGCUAUCGGGAUACUUACUGACAAGGGAGGAGGCAGGUGCUCGAUUCUUCCAUCUUUGUCAAGCAAGCAUGCUACGUUACCAGGACUGGACUCCUGAGGACACACCAGCCAGCCCUAAAUGGUCCUGACCAAUGUGAACGGAUUAGUGAAAAUGCUAAACCAGAUGUGGACACAGGAUCAGGGCUCGGUGGAUUCUCAGGCUGUUGGGAAGGAACUUGGGA